rnacentral:lncRNA from 1 species
CUACAGUGAUGAUAGUAAGCACGCUGUUGCUGGUAAGCACUGUGAUGGUGGUAAGCGCUCUGAUGGUGGUAAGUGCGAUGGUGGUAGGUGCUCUGAUGGUGGUAGGUGCUCUGAUGGUGGUAGGCGCUCUGAUGGUAGUAAGUACAGUGAUGAUAGUAAGCACGCUGUUGCUGGUAAGCACUCUGAUGGUGGUGGGUGCUCUGAUGGUGG